rnacentral:rRNA from 1 species
GACGAACCGUCCAAACGUUAUUCGGAAUCACUGGGCUUACAGAGUUCGUAGGCGGUCUGGAAAGUUGGGUGUGAAAUCCCUCGGCUCAACCGAGGAACUGCGCUUGAAACUACCAGACUCGAGGGAGAUAGAGGAAAGCGGAACUGAUGGUGGAGCGGUGAAAUGCGUUGAUAUCAUCAGGAACACCGGUGGCGAAGGCGGCUUUCUGGGUCUUCCUGACGCUGAGGAACGAAAGCUAG